UACGAAGGGGGCUAGCGUUGCUCGGAAUUACUGGGCGUAAAGGGCGCGUAGGCGGCCCGCUAAGUCGAACGUGAAAUCCCCGAGCUCAACUCGGGAACUGCGUCCGAUACUGGCGGGCUUGAAUCCGGGAGAGGGAUGCGGAAUUCCAGGUGUAGCGGUGAAAUGCGUAGAUAUCUGGAGGAACACCGGUGGCGAAGGCGGCAUCCUGGACCGGUAUUGACGCUGAGGCGCGAAAGCCAGGGGAGCAAACGGG
rnacentral:rRNA from 1 species